CCUGGUGCCUCAGAUGGUAAAGGAUCUGCCUGCAAUGCAGAAGACUGGGGUUCGAUCCCUGGGUCAGGA
rnacentral:tRNA from 1 species